AAGGGCACCACAAGAACGCGUGGAGCAUGUGGCUUAAUUUGACUCAACGCGGGAAAUCUUACCGGGUCCGGACAUACUGAGGAUUGACAGGCGCUUGUAGUAUUUUUAAUACUGCAGUAAAUAUGCUAGUCCUUUCAUGAUUGUGUGAUAGGUGGUGCAUGGCCGUUCUUAGUUCGUGGAGUGAUCUGUCUGCUUAAUUGCGUUUCACUAAGGACUCCCAAACGUCGCUUUGUUUUGCUUUUUUUUUCAAUAAAUGCUUUUUUAAGUUUUUUUUUUGAAUUCUUAGGCUUACGGUGACUAAGGAGUCUUGAAGGCAACGAACGUGACCGCAUCCUCUUGUUGCUACAUUUCCAUUUUCUUUUUUCUUUUUUUUAAGGGAAAAGAAAAUAAUUGUAUUUGCAAACUAGAGGGACCGCUGACAAUUUUCUAAACAGAGGAAGGUUGCGGCAAUAACAGGUCUGUGAUGCCCUUAGAUGUUCCGGGCUGCACACGUGCUACAAUGAUUAUUGCAGUGAGCAUCUAUUUUUUUUUCAAAAGUUUGUGGAGCUGUUGUUGUCAUUUUCUCCUCAAAAACUCUUUUUUUAAAAAAAAUCUUUUUUUUUUUUUUAAAAGUUUUUUGGGGUUUUAGAAAUUGAUUUAUCAACUGUUUCCCAACGAACCUACUUCGAAAGUAAGUAGGUAAUCAAUUCGAAGUAAUGAUUUCCACCCGCACAUACACAGUCCCUUGCUUAUUCUUUUUUUAUUUGCUUGCAAAGAAAAAAAGAAAAGGCUUGGUGGCAUGUGCUCCAUUAAUUCAUGGUGGGGACAGACCAUUGAUAAUUGUUGGUCUCGGUCUCAACUAGGAAUGCCUUGUACGGGUCUUUGGUUCAACAAACCACCCGGAAUAUGUCCCUGCCCUUUGUACACACCGCCCGUCA
rnacentral:rRNA from 1 species